rnacentral:tRNA from 2 species
UGGCGGUAUAGCUCAGUUGGUUAGAGCAUGGGAAUCAUAAUCCUGGGGUUGCAAGUUCAAAUCUUGCUAUCGCUAA